rnacentral:rRNA from 1 species
UUAGCGGCGGACGGGUGAGUAACACGUGGGUAACCUGCCUGUAAAACUGGGAUAACUCCGGGAAACCGGGGCUAAUACCGGAUGGUUGUUUGAACCGCAUGGUUCAAACAUAAAAGGUGGCUUCGGCUACCACUUACAGAUGGACCCGCGGCGCAUUAGCUAGUUGGUGAGGUAACGGCUCACCAAGGCAACGAUGCGUAGCCGACCUGAGAGGGUGAUCGGCCACACUGGGACUGAGACACGGCCCAGACUCCUACGGGAGGCAGCAGUAGGGAAUCUUCCGCAAUGGACGAAAGUCUGACGGAGCAACGCCGCGUGAGUGAUGAAGGUUUUCGGAUCGUAAAGCUCUGUUGUUAGGGAAGAACAAGUACCGUUCGAAUAGGGCGGUACCUUGACGGUACCUAACCAGAAAGCCACGGCUAACUACGUGCCAGCAGCCGCGGUAAUACGUAGGUGGCAAGCGUUGUCCGGUAAUUAUUGGGCGUAAAGGGCUCGCAGGCGGUUUCUUAAGUCUGAUGUGAAAGCCCCCGGCUCAACCGGGGAGGGUCAUUGGAAACUGGGGAACUUGAGUGCAGAAGAGGAGAGUGGAAUUCCACGUGUAGCGGUGAAAUGCGUAGAGAUGUGGAGGAACACCAGUGGCGAAGGCGACUCUCUGGUCUGUAACUGACGCUGAGGAGCGAAAGCGUGGGGAGCGAACAGGAUUAGAUACCCUGGUAGUCCACCCGUAAACGAUGAGUGCUAAGUGUUAGGGGGGUUUCCGCCCCUUAGUGCUGCAGCUAACGCAUUUAAGCACUCCGCCCUGGGGAGUACGGUCGCAAGACUGAAACUCAAAGGGAAUUGACGGGGGCCCGCACAAGCGGGUGGGAGCAUGUUGGUUUAAUUCGAAGCAACGCGAGAACCUUACCAAGGU